GACGAACGCUGGCGGCGUGCUUAACACAUGCAAGUCGAACGGAAAGGCCCUGCUUUUGUGGGGUGCUCGAGUGGCGAACGGGUGAGUAACACGUGAGUAACCUGCCCUUGCCUUUGGGAUAACUUCAGGCAACUGGGGCUAAUACCGGAUAGGAGCUCCUGCUGCAUGGUGGGGGUUGGAAAGUUUCGUCGGUUGGGGAUGGACUGGCGCCUUAUCAGCUUGUUGGUGGGGUAGUGGCUUAGCAAGGCUAUGCAGGGUAGCAGGCCUGCGAGGGUCACCUGCCAAGUCAGGAUUGAGAUGCGGCCCAGACUCCUACGGGACGCAGCAGUGGAGUAUGUAGCACUGUGGGCGGAAGCCUAGUGCAGCAACGCCGCGCGGGGGAUGAGGGCAUUCGGUUUGGAUUCUGCUUCCGUCUGUGACGAAGCGUGAGUGACGGUACUGGGUGAAGAAGCACCGGCUAACUACGUG
rnacentral:rRNA from 1 species